AUAAUUGUUGGUGUAUACAUUUUG
rnacentral:siRNA from 1 species